AUGCGACCCCCCACAUAAUAACCUCAUGACCCCCAGUUUGAGAAUCCCUGCUUAACCAUUUAUAUGUAUGCACUGUAAUGCUUCAGAAUGGGUGCUUAAUUUUAUUAGAAAGCCUAGUAAUAAGUGUUGCAUAAUACAGAAUUGGUUCCGAAAUAAGGAAAUAAUCAUUCUGUACUGCUUCUGUGUCCCUAUCCACGUACAGGGAAGAAUUCCAAAGUAAAUGAUCAAACUGCCUCUUUCUGCCAGCAGUAUAUGGAAAGACAAAGUCCUCUACUAAAGAUUUUUCUUCAUGUGGCUGUUGUGUUUAAAUCUGACAAGAAGAGUGGCACCUGGGAAAAAGCUAGGAGCAAUAUAAAACCGUUUCUAUUUUUACCUCCAAAUACUUAAGACCCUCUUGCUUCAUUGGCCUUGGUUACAAUAAUCCAAAGCAGUGUCAUCAAAAAUUUAGCUUAAGCAGCAUAAAUAUCUCCAGUUCCACUGGUCUGGCAGCAGAUUUUGGUCUUCCUUGUUUCAUUUGGAAGUUGGCUGUAGUCAGUAUUAAGGAUGAAACGAACUGUAGACUUUUAGAAAAGAUGAUAAUUUGAUAAUGACUUCAUAAGGAAACUUGAAGUUUCACUUGUCUGGUAUUAACUUUUCACCUCCUAGACUUUGUGCAGUAUGGUUGUAAGAGUGAGUGAAUCUUGCCACUUUCCUUUUAAGUUCUUUAAUGCCUUCAACUGUCCGGUCAUUCCCUUAUUAGUAAUGGGAAAACCUUUGUCACUGGUUUUGGUGGUCUAUGUAACAUAAAGAUGGUCAUCUCAUCUGCUUUCCAGGUGUCCCACCACAAAUGAAAUCCUUGUUACCAAUCUUGACAGAGACGAAGGAUAGAAUAAGUACAGGAGACUGAUCUACCUCGUUAGCUCAGGAUGGAUCCAUGGGUCUGUUCCAAUAUGGAAAUUCCACUUGCCCUUCUGACAAAUGCCAACUCAAAAUCCCCAUAAUGCACCUUGUCAAAGACCUGUGCCAUAAGUAUUGGAUCAUUUCAUAACAGGGAUGCCUUAGAAGAUUUAAUUGAUUAUUUUACCUUUGUUACCAUCACUUAGUUUAACAUUCUGGUGUAGUGGGUAGCUCCCCCUGUAUCUAUCUACCAUUUCUCUUAUUUCAAUGCAGUGUCCCUCAUGUCUCCAGCAUAGGGUGGUGAGGAUGUCGAUGAAAGCCUCUCAUCUUCUGAACUCUCUUAACAGCAAGCGUCAAUUAAUGUAAAUCAAAAUGAUAGAUUUAUUUACACACUUUUUUGUUUAUAUUUACAUGAUGCCUGAUCCACCUAAGGCCCUAAGCGCUUGUAUCAUGAAGUCAUCAUCACUUUCCUCUAGAUCUUCUGGAAAGCCCCUGUGUCUUGGAUCUCUUCAGGAUUUAUAGCGAUCUGCCACUUACUUCAUAGAGCUACCCCCUCACCCCACCGAUGCUUGAUUACUUGCAUUCAUCAGUAUAUUUGCUUUUUUAGUCUUGAUAGUUUGCACAAGUAUGUAAUUCUUCUAUUGUAGAUACCAAGUACAACCACCUAAGCCAGGACUCUGCUAUGCACUUGAAGAUCUGCUGAUGUCUCUUGGGAAAUCUAAAUAACAACAUUUCUACUAAUGGAUCAUAUUUCCCAUUUUAUUACUAUUAAGAACAUUUUUAUGAGAACAAAUUAUAGGCUGUGUUCAUCUGUAUGUCCAUCACCUUAAGUCAUAAUCAGGGAUCCUAGUUUUUUUGUGAUUUAACACCCCCCCGACCCCCCCCCAUCUGAUACAGCAUAAAAAUCCAUGUUUUUCCACAAUUAAAAUGAAAUGCUGUAUUUUAGUUUCCUUAGUCACUACAUAUAUACGCACACAAAUAUCAGUUGUAUGUGUUUUAUCGAUAUAUUUACAGUUUUAAGCAAGUUUGAAGCCUGCCAGUGCCAUCAGUCAUUAUAAUAAAAUUAAUAGAAUGAACCAGA